AUGGUUGUCGUCAGCUCGUGUCGUGAGAUGUUGGGUUAAGUCCGCACGAGCGCAACCCUCGCCUCUAGUUGCCAGCAUCGUUGGGCACUCUAGAGGGACUGCCGGCGACAAGUCGGAGGAAGUGGGAUGACGUCAAAUCAUCAUGCCCCUUAUGACCUGGGCUACACACGUGCUACAAUGGGCGGUACAAAGGGCUGCGAACCCGCGAGGGGGAGCGAAUCCCAAAAAGCCGCUCUCAGUUCGGAUUGCAGGCUGCAACUCGCCUGCAUGAAGCCGGAAUCGCUAGUAAUCGCGGAUCAGCAUGCCGCGGUGAAUACGUUCCCGGGCCUU
rnacentral:rRNA from 1 species